CUGCCCUAUUGUCUGGAAUACCCUCGGGAAACUAAAAACAAGGCCGAAUAGCCCACAAUGCCUGAAACGGUUUGUGAAUAAACCAAACAGAAGGAUGGGUCUGCGGCGUAUCAAGUUGUAGGGGGGGUAACGCACCCCCUAGCCUUCAACGCGUACGGGUGUUGGAAGACAUAACCCGAAUAUGGAUUCUGAAACACAAAUCCAAACCCUACGGGGUGCAGCAGGCCCGAAAACUUCCAACUGAAGGAAAUUGUGAUGAGGGACCUCCAAGUGUUAUCUUUAUAUGUUUCCUUUUCUUAACUAUUAACCGGACAAGGAAUAAGGGCUGGGAAAGACCGUUGCCAGCCGCCAAGGUAAUACCGCAAGUUCAGGUGGUCUUCAUUUUUAUUGGGCCAAAAACGUCCGUAGCCUGUUUGGUAAAUCUGUGGGAAAAUCAACCCGCUCAACGGUUUGAAUUCUGCACAUACUGCAAAACUAGGGACCGGGAGAGGUGUGGGGAACUCUAGGGAUAAAGGUAAAUUUCUUUCUUCCUUCAAGGACCACCAAUUCCGAAGGCGCCAUAUUGUAACGAAUUCGACGGUCAUGGACAAAGCCUAGGGGCACAAUCCAAAUUAGAUACCCGGGUAGUCCUAGGUGUAAACGCUUUUAACUUGUUAUCGGGGAUCCGUACGGGGUCCCCGGUGCCGGAUUAAAUAUGUUAAGUUCACUGCCUGGGGAGUACGGUCGCAAGG
rnacentral:rRNA from 1 species